CAACACCGACUGCAGUCUGGGCUGAGCGUGAAAUGGGCAUGCGGUUAACAAGAAGAUGUAUAUUCAUUAAAUGAUCACUAAACCACGAAGCAUGGUCCGACUGACGGCUAGCUGCAGCCCCCCACCCACUCACUCAGCUGCAUUAGGCCAUGUGUCACCGCUCACUGACCCACUCACGUCUGACUGGAUCGCCCGCCUCAUCCCCAGAAGUACUCUGCUCGCCCAAGGUCAAAGGUCAGCACAGAAGAGGCGCGUGGCAGUGGCAUUGUCAGAUUGUGGUUCAGGUGUGAAGGACGUUAGCCAGCUGAGCCUGUCCAUGUGAACACAAGAGCGGAAAUUGGAA